rnacentral:rRNA from 1 species
UGUCUUUUUGAAAAUAAUAUAAAGUCUAAUCUGCCCACUGAUUAUUUAAUUAAAGGGCUGCAGUAUAUUGACUGUACAAAGGUAGCAUAAUCAUUAGUCAUUUAAUUGAUGACUUGUAUGAAGGAUUGAAUGAAAUAUAGACUGUCUCUUAAUUAAAUAUAGAAUUUAAUUUUUUAAUAAAAAAGUUAAAAUAAUUUAAAAAGACGAGAAGACCCUAUAGAGUUUUAUAAGUAAUUUAAUUGAGAUUAUAUAAUAGUAUAAAAUUAAAAUUAAUUUAGUUAUUGUGUUGGGGUGAUAGAAAAAUGUAAUAAACUUUUUUUAUUUUUUACAUUUAUAAGUGAUUAUUUGAUCCAAUAUUAUUGAUUAUAAGAAAAAAUUACCUUAGGGAUAACAGCGUAAUUUUUUUUUUUAGUUCAUAUAAGAAAAAGAGUUUGCGACCUCGAUGUUGGAUUAAGAUAAAAUUUAAA